UACGUAGGGUGCAAGCGUUAAUCGGAAUACUGGGCGUAAAGCGUGCGCAGGCGGUGAUGUAAGACAGGUGUGAAAUCCCCGGGCUUAACCUGGGAACUGCAUUUGUGACUGCAUCGCUGGAGUGCGGCAGAGGGGGGGAUGGAAUUCCGCGUGUAGCAGUGAAAUGCGUAGAUAUGCGGAGGAACACCGAUGGCGAAGGCAAUCCCCUGGGCCUGCACUGACGCUGAGGAGCGAAAGCGUGGGUAGCAAACAGG
rnacentral:rRNA from 1 species